rnacentral:sRNA from 1 species
AAGCUUAUCAUAUAGGACUGUCAAACGC